rnacentral:rRNA from 1 species
AACGAACGCUGGCGGCAUGCCUAACACAUGCAAGUCGAACGAGACCUUCGGGUCUAGUGGCGCACGGGUGCGUAACGCGUGGGAACCUGCCCUUAGGUUCGGAAUAACUCCCCGAAAGGGGUGCUAAUACCGGAUAAUGUCUUCGGACCAAAGAUUUAUCGCCUUUGGAUGGGCCCGCGUUGGAUUAGCUAGUUGGUAGGGUAAAAGCCUACCAAGGCGACGAUCCAUAGCUGGUCUGAGAGGAUGAUCAGCCACACUGGGACUGAGACACGGCCCAGACUCCUACGGGAGGCAGCAGUGGGGAAUAUUGGACAAUGGGCGAAAGCCUGAUCCAGCAAUGCCGCGGGAGUGAUGAAGGCCUUAGGGUUGUAAAGCUCCUUUACCCGGGAUGAUAAUGACAGUACCGGGAGAAUAAGCUCCGGCUAACUCCGUG